rnacentral:rRNA from 1 species
ACAGCUAGCUUAAUCACUAAAAUAACUAAACAAUAUAAAUAAAUAAAACAAGCCUAACACCAUAAACUAAAACAUUCUUUUACCUAAGUAUGGGAGACAGAAAAGGUUCAACCAAAGCAAUAGAAAUAGUACCGCAAGGGAAAGCUGAAAGAGAAAUGAAAUAACCCAUAUAAGCACUAAAAAGCAAAGAUUAAACCCUGUACCUUUUGCAUCAUGAUUUAGCCAGUCCACCCAAGCAAAGAGACCUUUAGUUUGAAACCCCGAAACCAGGUGAGCUACCCCGAGACAGCCUAUUAAGGGCUAACCCGUCUCUGUGGCAAAAGAGUGGGAAGAGCUCCGGGUAGAAGUGACAGACCUACCGAACCUGGUGAUAGCUGGUUGCCUAAGAAAUGAAUAGAAGUUCAGCCUCAUAUGCCUCAAAUCAAACAAACCAAGACAUUAAGAGAAACACAUGAGAGUUAGUUAAAAGGGGUACAGCCCCUUUAACAAAGGACACAACCUUAUCAGGAGGAUAAAGAUCAUAAUACAUAAAACAUUCCGUUCUAGUGGGCCUAAAAGCAGCCACCUACACAGAAAGCGUUAAAGCUCAGACAGACAAAAGUUUAUUAUUCUGAUAAAAAAUCUUAUUCCCCUAAAUAUUAUUAGGCCAAUCCAUGCCCCCAUGGAAAAAAUUAUGCUAAAAUGAGUAACAAGAAGACCCGCCCUUCUCCCAGCACAAGUGUAAGCCAGACUGGACAAACCACUGGCAACCAACGAACUCAGCCCAAGAGAGUAUUGCGAAUCACAAAAACUCCAAGAAGAACCCGCAACUAAACAAUCGUUACCCCCACACUGGAGUGCUACUAUAGGAAAGACUAAAAGAAAAAGAAGGAACUCGGCAAACACAAGCCUCGCCUGUUUACCAAAAACAUCGCCUCCUGCAAUACAAUCAAGUAUAGGAGGUCCAGCCUGCCCAGUGACCACAAGUUCAACGGCCGCGGUAUUUUGACCGUGCAAAGGUAGCGCAAUCACUUGUCUUUUAAAUAGAGACCUGUAUGAAUGGCUAAACGAGGGCUUAACUGUCUCCCUUUUCAGGUCAGUGAAAUUGAUCUACCCGUGCAGAGGCGGG